CAGACUGCGGAUAAUAAAAUGGCAUAACUACGCAAAGAAAGAAACUGAAGAAUUGGAUUGUUAAUGCAAGAGAACACAAGACAAAAUCAUUAAAUCAAGCAUAAUGAACUUUCUGAGAAAUAUAUUGUCAGUCUGACAGUGCUGCAUCUAUAAAGGAGCUCUGUUAUUAUUAUUUUUUUUCUUUCCUUCUUUCUUUUUUUCUUCAAGACCAUUUCGCCAAUCUUUCAAGUGCCAAGUCACAGUCCACCAGCUCCUCUUGCAAACCCAUUUCUCAGCUAUUUUUGUAAACAAAAACGAAAAGCUAUGGAAGGCAAAAGCUGUUCAAGUAGCAAAAGUCAUG
rnacentral:misc_RNA from 1 species